UACGGAGGGUGCAAGCGUUAUCCGGAUUCACUGGGUUUAAAGGGUGUGUAGGCGGGCUGAUAAGUCAGUGGUGAAAUCUCCGGGCUCAACCCGGAAACUGCCAUUGAUACUAUUGGUCUUGAAUUUCGUUGAGGUGUGCAGAAUAUGUCAUGUAGCGGUGAAAUGCAUAGAUAUGACAUAGAAUACCGAUUGCGCAGGCAGCACGCUAAACGAAUAUUGACGCUGAGGCACGAAAGCGUGGGGAUCAAACAGG
rnacentral:rRNA from 1 species